rnacentral:rRNA from 1 species
UCCGGGGGGUGCAAUCGUUAUUCGGAAUCAUUGGGCGUAAAGAGCGCGUAGGCGGUCUUCUAUGUCAGGUGUGAAAGCCCGGGGCUCAACCUCGGAAGUGCACUUGAAACUGGGAGACUUGAGUAUGGGAGAGGGAAGUGGAAUUCCUGGUGUAGCGGUGAAAUGCGUAGAUAUCAGGAGGAACACCGGUGGCGAAGGCGACUUCCUGGACCAAUACUGACGCUGAGGCGCGAAGGCGUGGGGAGAAAACAGG